GACGAACGCUGGCGGCGUGCUUAACACAUGCAAGUCGAACGGUGAACCACUUCGGUGGGGAUCAGUGGCGAACGGGUGAGUAACACGUGGGCAACCUGCCCUUAGCUCUGGGAUAACCCCGGGAAACCGGGGCUAAUACCGGAUACGACCUCGAGCGGCAUCACUCGAGGUGGAAAGAACUUCGGCUAAGGAUGGGCCCGCGGCCUAUCAGCUUGUUGGUGGGGUAAUGGCCUACCAAGGCGACGACGGGUAGCCGGCCUGAGAGGGCGACCGGCCACACUGGGACUGAGACACGGCCCAGACUCCUACGGGAGGCAGCAGUGGGGAAUAUUGCGCAAUGGGCGAAAGCCUGACGCAGCGACGCCG
rnacentral:rRNA from 1 species